UACAGAGGUCUCAAGCGUUGUUCGGAUUCAUUGGGCGUAAAGGGUGCGUAGGUGGCGCGCUAAGUCAGGUGUGAAAUUUCGGAGCUCAACUCCGAAACUGCAUUUGAUACUGGCGUGCUUGAGGACUGGAGAGGAGACUGGAAUUUACGGUGUAGCAGUGAAAUGCGUAGAGAUCGUAAGGAAGACCAGAGGCGAAGGCGGGUCUCUGGACAGUUCCUGACACUGAGGCACGAAGGCCAGGGGAGCAAACGGG
rnacentral:rRNA from 1 species